rnacentral:misc_RNA from 1 species
GAUGAAGAACGCAGCGAAAUGCGAUACGUAAUGUGAAUUGCAAAUUCAGUGAAUCAUCGAGUCUUUGAACGCACAUUGCGCCCCCUGGUAUUCCGGGGGGCAUGCCUGUCCGAGCGUCAUUGCUGCCCUCAAGCACGGCUUGUGUGUUGGGCCCCGUCCUCCGAUCCCGGGGGACGGGCCCGAAAGGCAGCGGCGGCACCGCGUCCGGUCCUCGAGCGUAUGGGGCUUUGUCACCCGCUCUGUAGGCCCGGCCGGCGCUUGCCGAUCAACCCAAAUUUUUAUCCAGGUUGACCUCGGAUCAGGUAGGGAUACCCGCUGAACUUAAGCAUAUCAUAAGCGGAGG